rnacentral:rRNA from 1 species
CCGCGUGAGCGAAGAAGGCCUUCGGGUCGUAAAGCUCUGUUGUUAGGGAAGAACAAGUACGAGAGUAACUGCUCGUACCUUGACGGUACCUAACCAGAAAGCCACGGCCAACUCUGUGCCAGCAGCCGCGGUAAGACAGAGGGGGCAAGCGUUGCUCGGAAUCACUGGGCGUAAAGGGCGCGUAGGCGGGAUGGCAAGUCAGUCGUGAAAUCUCUCGGCUCAACCGAGAAACGUCGGCUGAUACUGCCGUUCUUGAGGGAUGCAGAGGAGACUGGAAUUCCCGGUGUAGCGGUGAAAUGUGUAGAGAUCGGGAGGAACACCGGUGGCGAAGGCGGGUCUCUGGGCAUCUCCUGACGCUGAGGCGCGAAAGCGUGGGGAGCAAACGGGAUUAGAUACCCCGGUAGUCCACGCUGUAAACGAUGACGACUAGGUGUGGGGUGGUUCAGUCCAUUCCGUGCCGCAGCUAACGCAUUAAGUCGUCCGCCUGGGGAGUACGGCCGCAAGGUUG